AUCGCUAAGUCCCUCUCUCUCACCUCUCUGGCUCUCCCCUCUCCUCUCCAUCCCUCUCCCCGGCGUGCACGGAUCUGGCCAGAUGCUACGGUCGUAGGGCGGUGGCGGCGACGGUUACCGGCGGUGGCGAUGGCGUUGGCGGCUGCGGCUCCAGGCAGUGGCGGCGCACCCCAGCUCGGUCCCCUCCCUAGAUCCGGCCGGAGGGAGGGGGAGGGCGGUGGCGGUGACGGCUACCGGUGCUGGUGGUGGCGUUGGCGGCUACGGCUCCAGGCAAUGGCGGCGCACCCUGGCUCGGUCCCCUCCCUAGAUCUGGCCUGAGGGAGGGGGAGGGCGGUGGCAGCAGCGGCUAUAGACGGUGGCGCACCCCGGUGCGGUUCCCCUCCUCUCCCCAGAUCCGGGUGGCGUCGGCUGCUCCCCUCCGGAUCUAGCGCGGUGGCAGCGGCCCUCCCCUCCGGCUUUGGCGGGCGGCAGCUCCUCCCUUCCGGUGACGACUGUGUCUAUGGAUUUGUUUUGUUUGUGAAUCAUGUUGCCUCUAUGUGAAUUUGCGAUGCUUCUGUGAAUUUGAUUUGGUUUGAUUGGAUUGGACGGAGAAUAGGAAGUGGAAUAUUGGAUUGGAUUGGGAAUAGGAAGGUGUGGCUGCUGCACUUUUUUUUUAGCGCUGAAAAAUCUCUUCGCGGGCGGGCUAGUUGCCCGCUUAGGAAAAUCACGAUUUUUGCAGGCCUUGAGGUAUAGGCAGACCAGUUGCUCGCUUGCGAAAACUUGUUUUGUUUGUCUGAAAAAUACUUUUUCUAGUAGUGGGUCCCAUGGCCGGAGCUUGGUCGGGAAGUUGUUCACCCGGACGACGCAGCGCAAGAACUCGCGACAGCGGCCGGAGCCAUAGACGACGACGGCCUCGGCCAUGGGGUGCUUCCCCGCGGAGCAACUCCCCUCGCAGGUGCCUGCAGAGGCAUCUUCAUCAGACAUGUGGUAGUACAUGUAGUUGAAGGGGCAACGUAAUUCUUCAUGGCUGCCAUCGUCGUCUCCACAGAUGUAGCACAGCUUCUUGCCAUCUGCAGGUAGUUCCCUCUGGAAGGGCAACAUGGAGGACAUGACACAUCUGAACCCCACCACAUCUUUGAAUGAACAAGAUUUGGUUAAUUGUUGUAUUUAUCCAGGAUUAAAUUUUGAUUAGAAUACUUUCAAUAAGAUAAGAGAUGCUGCCUCUGUCUC
rnacentral:sRNA from 1 species